GUCUCUGUAGCUCAGUGGAUAGAGCGUCUGCCUCCGGAGCAGAAGGCCGCUGGUUCGAGUCCAGCCAGGGACGCC
rnacentral:tRNA from 1 species